rnacentral:rRNA from 1 species
UCAGUCGUAAACUUUAAAUUACCUCCUACUCGCCCGGGAACUACGAGCCAUGCUUAAAACCCAAAGGACUUGACGGUACCCCAUAUCCCCCUAGAGGAGCCUGUCCUAUAAUCGACACCCCCCGUUCAACCUCACCAUUUCUAGCAACAUCAGCCUGUAUACCUCCGUCGUCAGCUUACCACGUGAGCGUCAGUGAGCUCUAUGUUUAUCCAACUAUACGUCAGGUCAAGGUGCAACACAUGAAAUGGGAAGAGAUGGGCUACACUCUCUAUCUUAGAGAAAACGAAAAACUACUUAUGAAAUCUAGUCAGAAGGCGGAUUUAGAAGUAAAAUGGAACCAGAGAGUCCCUUUUAACAG